UACGUAGGGUGCAAGCGUUGUCCGGAAUUAUUGGGCGUAAAGAGCUCGUAGGCGGUUUGUCGCGUCUGCUGUGAAAACUCGGAGCUCAACCCCGAGCUUGCAGUGGGUACGGGCAGACUAGAGUGGCGGUAGGGGAGACUGGAAUUCCUGGUGUAGCGGUGGAAUGCGCAGAUAGUCAGGAGGAACACCGGUGGCGAAGGCAGGUCUCUGGGCCACUACUGACGC
rnacentral:rRNA from 1 species